CCUACGGGAGGCAGCAGUGAGGAAUAUUGGUCAAUGGGCGCGAGCCUGAACCAGCCAAGUAGCGUGAAGGAUGACUGCCCUACGGGUUGUAAACUUCUUUUAUAAAGGAAUAAAGUGAGGCACGUGUGCCUUUUUGUAUGUACUUUAUGAAUAAGGAUCGGCUAACUCCGUGCCAGCAGCCGCGGUAAUACGGAGGAUCCUAGCGUUAUCCGGAUUGAUUGGGUUGAAAGGGAGCGUAGAUGGGUUGUUAAGUCAGUGGUGAAAGUUUGCGGCUCCACCGGAAAAUUGCAAUUGAUACUGGCAGCCUUGAGUACAGUUGAGGUAGUCGGACUUCGUGGUGUAGCGGUGA
rnacentral:rRNA from 1 species